rnacentral:rRNA from 1 species
UACGAAGGGGGCUAGCGUUGUUCGGAAUUACUGGGCGUAAAGCGCACGUAGGCGGACUACUAAGUCAGGGGUGAAAUCCCGGGGCUCAACCCCGGAACUGCCUUUGAUACUGGCGAUCUUAGAGUCCGGGAGAGGUGAGUGGAACUCCGAGUGUAGAGGUGAAAUUCGUAGAUAUUCGGAAGAACACCAGUGGCGAAGGCGGCUCACUGGCCCGGUACUGACGCUCAGGUGCGAAAGCGUGGGGAGCAAACAGG